CGCACAUUGCGCCCUUUGGACAUUCCGAAGGGCAUGCCUGUUCGAGCGUCAUUAACCCUCUCAAGCUCAGCUUGGUAUUGGGUGUUCGCCCCCCGGGGCGCACCCGGAAUUCAGUGGCGGUCCGGGGAGACUUCAAGCGCAGUAGAUCGUAUUCGCUUCUGGAGCUCUCUCUGUGGCCCCGCCAAAAUCCAUCUUUUCUAUGAAUUGACCUCGGAUCAGGUAGGGAUACCCGCUGAACUUAA
rnacentral:misc_RNA from 1 species